AAAAGAGCAAUGCACAGCUAAGGCUAUCUACAACUGCACUAACCUGAAAAAAAAAUUGCUAAGGAAUGAGCUAGCGACUCAAUAAGCAUUUAAUUUACUAAACUAUAGUAUAUUAGGCUAGAAUUAUCAAAUCUUUAUCAAUACAGAAAAUUAUACCAACACUUAACUAACAAUCACAAAAUCAACCAUUUCAGUUAUUCUCAUAAACAUAUAAUUUCAUCUCACGUAAUGCAAAUAAUCUCAAACUCAACCAAGUCAAAUAAUUCAAUUCCACAUUAUUUCUAUGAAAUUAGGAUCAGAUGACUCAUCCUUACAUUUCCUCACAUUUUUAAAUUUCAGUAACCACUUGACAAGACUAUCCGCCUGGCUCAGUCUUGCCAUCUCACAUACUCGGGUAGCUAUCCGCCCGGCUCAGCUUUCCCGAUCACACAAUAUCCAUACAAAAGUCAUCAAUCCUUAAUCACAAUCAUUUCACUUCACAACACAUCACAAUCAAUUCACUUCACAACACAUCACAAUCAAUUCACUUUAUAACAAGCCAAAAACAUAACUAAUAUCAACUCAGUCAACCAAGAAAUUAUCAAGUAAUCAAACAGCAGUCCCUACUCAAUAUACACAAAGUUUAGUCUAUUAAAUACUUACCAAAAGUUAU
rnacentral:lncRNA from 1 species